GAAGCCCUACGUUUCUACGAUUGGCUAAGUGACCCGCCCAUUCUCUGGAGAUCCGCUUGUUGGCUGGGCCGAGAGAUGAGACUCUCAGCUGAGUGUUCAGGCUGUCGAGCUUGUUGUGAUCCCUUUGGGGCACGGACCUGACUUUUCAUAUUUUGCCAGGCAUACUUCUACUGUCGUAUAAAUAAGACAUUUCAUUGCUGAUCUUAUAAAAACUUACUUGAAACAAAUUUGGAUUGAGAAUGGUUACAGGAGGAAGAUUCUGAUGCACUAAUGAAUGGGCACCGCAACUAACUGGAAUCUAAAGAGGUAUUUUAAACAUAACAAAUAGGCAAUACUUUUUGGAAUUUGACUUUCUUCCUUUGAACUACAGAAAGCAAAUUAGUUCAUCUUGCAGAUUCUUCACAGUUUUGAAGUCGUAGAAAUAUUCUGAAUUCUGCACCAUGUAAAAGAGUUACAUAACCUACUUUACUAAUUUGGAAGUUUGUUUUCAGUAUUAUAACUGUAUAUUGGAUAUUAGCAUUUUAGAAAUUCAAAAUUUAUAUGAAUAUUUCAGAUGUUACUAUGACAUCUUGGUAGGAUAAACAACUGUCUUUAUUACAGGAUGAAAAGUUUGGGGGGGGAGAAGUAAAUUAUUUUUAGUGAAAAAGGAAAGCAUCUGCCAGCUGCUGUUGUUCAAGUUGAGAGAUUUGUACAACAUAUUGUAAUUAUGCCACACAGUAUCUAAGAAGGUAGAAAAGAUCCUGCUUUCUGCAGUUCGUAUGCUAUCUUAUCCCUUGGGGCAAAGAACCUUCAGAAUGAUUAGAUCCCAACCAUUGCAUGCAACGUGGAUGAAAAAUAUUUGGCUUGAUCUUAGCAUUGUGGGCCACCCUAUCAUUAGCAGAAUGGAAAAUACAUACAGUACAUAAAAAUAAGAGUCUUUCCCAGAAACACCUCAAUCCUUUCCACUUUUUCAUUUUCGUUCCUAACGUAUGACUGGAUUUUUCCCUCUCAAUUAUAUUUUUGGCUUGUGCCAAAAGAAGAAUUACACUUGGACACAGUUUAAAAAGAAAAUGACUUUGAAGAAGAUUGAAUGUACCCUUGUCGUCUUCUUUUUGACAAGGAAAGGUUUCAUAAGAAUCCUAUCAAGAAAUAUUCUUAUCUCUCAGGAGAACACAAAUUCAGGGAAAGCCCACAGAAUUUAUGUUGUCAAGACUUCAAGCAAAACGAUGCUUGUUUGUCUACCUAUAUACUUCAGUAAUGAAUAGAGUUUGACUUGCAUUAACAUCAACUAUAGAAGCUGCAGAUGGCAUACAUCAGGUAUAUUUACCUCAUUGUCUAAUAGAAGGCAGGCUAAAUAGAGUAAAGUAUUUCUUAAAGAAAAUAAGUUAAAUAUUGAAAAAAAGGUCCUGAUGUUGUUGGUCCUUGUUCAUGUAUUUUAGUGAGGAAAAGGUACUUCUAUUAGGACUGCAUUCUCUCACCUUUACAUAAGGACUCUAUCAGUAAAAAAGUUGUAAUAAUUUCAGAUGAAUAUCCAGCUUCUUCGAUUUAAUGAGGGUCUUCAAUUAUAUUUGAAGAGACUGAACCAGUUUUGUCUUUCACAGAGGAGUCCUUGCUGCUGAGAUGUGGAACAACCUCCAAAGUAAUUAUAUUCCAGAAUAACAGAGCUUUGUAUCUUGUAUUCAACACCUUGAAAUACACUGAAAGCAAACUUAAGACACAACAGUACAUAGCACAAGUAUUAUAUAAAUGUAAUAAGGUGAUAUCUUUCAGUAAUAGAGCAGUUUACUUUCACUUAAUAUAAGUGAGCUAAGAGUUGCUUCACUUCUGAGGGUAUGUAGUAAUGGAACUUAGCAAAUAUGAGAAUACUUAUAUUAGUACAGUUGGGCCCUUUCCCACCAUAUUUGGUACAAGAAUAUAAAGCAAGACAACUUCACAAAUACAGAAGGAUUUCUGGUGGACAGCUAAGGAAUGACAAAAUUGCCAUAAAUAUGAAAUGGGACAAUGUUUGGGAAAAGUGGCAAAAAUGAAGCAUAACAGAAAAACAACACAUUAAAAGCAUUCUUAUACUAAUUUGUUCCAUAAUAAUAGCCUAUGAGAGAAAAAUCCUAGAAUCUCUGGAGUUCAAAAUAAGAUUCUAUAGACAAAGGCCCUUCAAAGCUGAGGCUCAUUCCACAUUGAAGCACACUAGUUCACACUUUCUACCAUAAUUUUGUCACAAGAAUAAUUUUAUAUAUGAUUCAGUUUAAAAAAGUUUACAAUAGCAUAAA